UGGGGAAUUUUGGACAAUGGGCGAAANCCUGAUCCAGCAAUGCCGCGUGUGUGAAGAAGGCCUUCGGGUUGUAAAGCACUUUUGUCCGGAAAGAAAUCCUUGGCUCUAAUACAGUCGGGGGAUGACGGUACCGGAAGAAUAAGCACCGGCUAACUACGUGCCAGCAGCCGCGGUAAUACGUAGGGUGCAAGCGUUAAUCGGAAUUACUGGGCGUAAAGCGUGCGCAGGGCGGUUUGCUAAGACCGAUGUGAAAUCCCCGGGCUCAACCUGGGAACUGCAUUGGUGACUGGCAGGCUAGAGUAUGGCAGAGGGGGGUAGAAUUCCACGUGUAGCAGUGAAAAUGCGUAGAGAUGUGGAGGAAUACCGAUGGCGAAGGCAGCCCCCUGGGCCAAUACUGACGCUCAUGCACGAAAGCGUGGGGAGCAAACAGGAUUAGAUACCCUGGUAGUCCACGCCCUAAACGAUGUCAACUAGUUGUUGGGGAUUCAUUUCCUUAGUAACGUAGCUAACGCGUGAAGUUGACCGCC
rnacentral:rRNA from 1 species